AGGGCAAACGCUGGCGGCGUACCUAAGACAUGCAAGUCGAACGGAUCAUAUGGUUUCGGCCGUAUGGUGAGUGGCGGACGGGUGAGUAACGCGUAGGAACCUGUCAUGAAGUGGGGGAUAACGCUGGGAAACCGGCGCUAAUACCGCAUGAGGUCGCAGCAAUGCGAAGAAAGCUUUUCGCGCAAGUGGAAGGCGCUAUAUGAGGGGCCUGCGUCCGAUUAGCUAGUUGGUGGGGUAAAGGCCUACCAAGGCAUCGAUCGGUAGCUGGUCUGAGAGGAUGGUCAGCCACACUGGGACUGAGACACGGCCCAGACUCCUACGGGAGGCAGCAGUUAGGAAAUUUUUUGCAAUGGGGGAAACCCUGACAGAGUAACGCCGCGUGAGGGAUGACGGCCUUCGGGUUGUAACCUCUUUCUGGGGAGAGAAGAGACGGUACCCAGGAGAAGCCUCGGCUAACUACGCGCCAGCAGCCGCGGUAA
rnacentral:rRNA from 1 species